rnacentral:lncRNA from 1 species
AUGGCUAUAAAGAUACGAUGCUGUAUGUCCUCACCCUUCUGGAUCAGCAAUGUAUUUGCACUGUGCAAUGGAGGAAAAACAGCCAAAGCAGAGUCAGCUUUGGGGCUCUUAAGCCAAAACAUACAACGUAGGCAAUUCCCAGUGCUUGUCCCAGUGGAGUACUGCUAUUUAUGCAACAUGAAGUAUCUUACCAAAAUUGAUGGACCAGGUCUGCCUAAAUGA